AUGGUUCUGGGUUCUACUGGUGGCUGGGGUGCGAAGAGAGAUCGUUCUGAGAAGAAAUCCAAGGUGGAGCGUUGGGUGCUGGGUUUCGUCGAUUGGAUCUGUGGUGGGGUUUUGAUUCAAGUGAUAAGGAAGUCGGACUCGCGUGUUCAAAAUAGUGAGUGUCCUAUUUUGCGAACCGAAUUUCGGGCUCACUAUAUUAGCUAUGCAAGUCCAGGCUUUUUUUAA
rnacentral:lncRNA from 1 species